UACGGAGGGUGCGAGCGUUGUCCGGAAUUACUGGGCGUAAAGCGCGCGUAGGCGGCUUUGUAAGUUAGAGGUGAAAGCCCGGAGCUCAACUCCGGAAUUGCCUUUAAGACUGCAUCGCUAGAAUCAUGGAGAGGUGAGUGGAAUUCCGAGUGUAGAGGUGAAAUUCGUAGAUAUUCGGAAGAACACCAGUGGCGAAGGCGACUCACUGGACAUGUAUUGACGCUGAGGUGCGAAAGCGUGGGGAGCAAACAGG
rnacentral:rRNA from 1 species